UUCAUUUGGAUGUGUUGACAGAUGGUGAAAUUUGUUUGAGCUAGGCUAUGAAAGUCAACGGUCCAAUAUUCUAGAACACUGCUGCGCGCACGCGUACAUGUUUUGGACUAUAAUAAACUUAGGCUGCGUCGCCGUUUCUUUUUCUGUUUUCUCUAGUUGUGCGAGUGUGCUCUACAGUAACUCCACGGAAGCGCUGCAACCCUAGGCAGCUGGCACUUGGCUCAAUUCACCGACUGGGAAAGAGGUCCCCGUCCACUGAUGACAGGCUUGGCAGCAGAUCAAACUACAAAGUGGCAGGACUUCUCACUGACUGGUCCCGGUGAGGAAGGCAAUAGACGACAGCAGCAGCCAAAACGUCAGCCCAACGUUAUCCCCAGCAUGGCAUGUUCUCCUGAAAGUGGGACAGACAUUUCUUCCCUGCUCCAGCUCCAGGAUGUGGGCUCCAGCAAGGUCCAAGAGAGGGGGAGCUCCCCGGGACUCCUACCCGCCCUCUACAGCCCUCCGAGCGGCAUGGAGAGCCGCACAUUCUGCAUCCCCUCUCCCUACACAGACAACAGCCAUGAUUACAGUCACAGCCACGGACCCCUAGCCUUCUACAACCCCUCUAUGCUCGGCUACAGCAGACCACCUAUCUCCGACAGCCCUUCUCUAUGUCCACCCCUCAGUCCCUCUCUCUUCUGGCCCAACCAUGGCCAGCAAAACAUGCCCUCGCUGACCCUGCACUGCCCCCAGCCCCUGGUGUACAGUGAGCAUAACACCCACACCCCCUGGGUGGAGCCCAAACCCCACGGCCUCAGCCCCAGCAGCCCUCUCCUCCACCCUACCAAGCUGCUGGGGAAGAGACUGGAGGACGGAGAGGAAGUGAACUCCUCCUCAGCCAGCUGUGUGGUGGUGAAGGCAGACAUGCACUUCUGUGCCGUGUGUCAUGACUACGCUUCGGGCUACCACUACGGCGUGUGGUCUUGUGAGGGCUGCAAGGCCUUCUUCAAGAGGAGCAUCCAAGGCCACAAUGAUUACAUUUGUCCAGCAACUAACCAGUGCACUAUCGACAAGAACCGCCGUAAAAGCUGCCAGGCCUGCCGCCUACGCAAGUGUUAUGAAGUGGGCAUGAUGAAGUGUGGUGUGAGGCGAGAGCGCUGCAGUUACCGGGGGGCGAGGCACCGGCGUGUACCUCAGGGGCGGGGGGUGUCAGGCGGGCUGGUGGGGGUAGGGACCAGGGCCCAGAUGCGUCUGGAGGGGGGCUCCCACCCCCAGCUGGAGGUGCACCACUCGUCCCUGACCCCAGAACAGCUGAUCUCCUGCAUCAUGGAAGCGGAGCCGCCAGAGAUCUACCUGAUGGAGGACCUGAAGAAGCCCUUCACUGAGGCCAGCAUGAUGAUGUCACUUACCAACCUGGCCGACAAGGAGUUGGUCCUCAUGAUCAGCUGGGCCAAGAAGAUCCCUGGCUUUGUAGAGCUAAGUCUGACGGACCAGGUGCACCUGUUGGAGUGUUGCUGGCUGGAGGUGCUGAUGCUGGGUCUGAUGUGGAGGUCUGUCGACCACCCUGGGAAACUCAUAUUCUCACCAGACUUAAAGCUCAACAGGGAAGAGGGAAACUGUGUGGAGGGCAUUAUGGAGAUAUUUGACAUGCUGCUGGCAGCCACCUCUAGGUUCAGGGAGCUGAACCUUCAGAGGGAGGAGUACGUCUGUCUGAAAGCCAUGAUCCUCCUCAACUCCAGGUCUAUGUUUGUGUCCACCUGUAGACAUCUGCUCUACCUCUCCGGAGAGGGCAGAAGAUCUGGAGAGCAGGGGGAAGCUGCUGCGUCUGCUGGACUCAGUGACGGAUGCCCUGGUGUGGGCCAUCUCCAAACGAGGCCUGUCAUUCCAGCAGCAGUCAUCCCGCCUGGCCCACCUCCUCAUGCUACUCUCACACAUUCGCCACGUCAGUAACAAAGGCAUGCAGCACCUCUCUAGCAUGAAGAAGAAGAAUGUCGUGCUGCUCUAUGACCUGCUCUUGGAAAUGCUGGACGCCAACACAACCCACAGCAGCCGUAUGUCCGCAACUCAUGACCCCUCUAACAAUGACCCCACAGAGCCCCCAGCAGCACCAGCUCCUGCUGUAGACACUCAGUUCCUGCUAACAUUCCAAAACCCAGAGGAGAGCCAAACACUCGAGAGCAUUAGUACAUCCAGCCAGGGUGCUGGCCAGCCGAGAGAGGGGAGAUGUGUACCUCAGUAAGAGGGACAGUGACAGGAUACAGCGUGGGACAUGGAUGGAGACUGCUUGAGACUGUAAAUCACCCCAAAGGGGUGAAUGGACUGAAGGAGAGGACAGACUGGCACACUCUGGGACAGUGUACACCAUUCCCAAUAGGCUGACUGAGAGUAAAAUGUCUUAUAGACUGCAGAAUGUGUCAUUGUGAGGUAAAUAUUACAGUUGUAUCCUUUUCGGAUGUUUUUGGUCUAUGGAAAAAAUAUGAUUUGUAACAGUGAAUUGACUGUAUUUUUGGUGUAAUUUCCUUGUAUUAAUGCAGUUGGUAAUGUAGCUAGUAAUGAGUACAUCGUUUAACUUCUACCAGUCAAAAUGUGUCUCCUUUUGAUAUAUUUCUAAACUUUUUCACCUUUAUCAGUGUCUGUGAACAAUUCAUACCAUCCUACUGUAACUGGCUUACUUGGAAAAUGGUGCAUGAAGUCCAUGCUGUGAACAUGAUUUAUCAAACAGGACUAUAGCAAUGAGAUGUGCAUUUGACAUUUCAGAUUGUGGGUGUUCUUUGCCCCAUACCAGGGCACACUGCUAUUACAGUACAGUAACUGUAACUUUUCAUGCUGGAUGUGUGGAGGGGAUGUUUUAUGAUGUACUCUGUAAAAACCUACAUUUCAACCAGUUGACUUUUGUGGCCUUUGAUUUAAGAUGACUGCUAGUCUCCAUUCAAGUUUGUGUGAGCCAUCAGAAGCCAAACAAAAACCAGCAACUGCUAGAAACUCACACACUUGUACUUAUGCAUCCUGAUCAUACCCUGUCCCCCCUGUAAUGAUUUGGUGCUUGUGCUGUUUCUGAUGUUCAAUGUCAAAGUCAUGUUUGUAUUGAUAGAAAAUCUACAUACACAGAGCUUGUCAUAUUGAGGCAUUUUAGCCCCAAUGGAAUUGCAACCAAACAUCUUAAAAGCAACUGUAAAACGUGAAUGUAGUUCUAUUGACAUAAGCACAGAUUAUGGCAAACAAUGUUUAUUGUCAAGUAAAAAUGAAUUCAAGCUAUUCAUCAUCCAUAAAUAAGCAUUAAAAAAUGUAUUCAACUGUACACCAUUGUUUUCUUUGUUUCAUUGUACUACAGAGCAGUACAAAGUGACUUGACUAUGUACACUAAUAAUGAAACUAGGUAAAUGAACUGUUCUCUGAUCAGCUCCAGCUUGACUAAUUUUUUUACACAUGAGUAAGCCUUCUUUGUGAAGAAAGCCAAAGCAUUCCUUCAACUGUAAACCUUCUAGUCUAUACGUACUCUUUGAUUCUGCAUGUACACCGCAACAUUAAUCGCUCACUGACUGGUCCAGGUUCAUGUCACCUAUAUAUUCAUAUACUGUAGUGUAUUUACGGUAUUCUACAGCUAUGACAGCAUCAGAUUUUACUCACAAUAUUCAACCGCAGGAAAGAAAAGUGUAACAGAGCAGCUUCCAGAUGGGUACAUCCAAACAUUUUUGAUUUAGUUCUCCGGUGCUAAAACGAUUUGUAAGCCGCACUCUAUGUCCCCCAUCAGCCCAGGGUGGCCCACAAUCACACAAGGCCUCUGUGGGAGAUAGGGAUGCACACACACAUUGUCAAUAGUUUGCCAUUAUGUACAAAUGCACUCAUACACACAAAAUCAUAGGUACACUAGUGUAAAUAAAAUAUUUUUAAACAAAAACAGAUUUUCUAAAGCACUGACUACAGCAAGGCAUGUUUGCAGUUGAUUCGCUACCAUAAUUCAGUGAAAAUGACAUCACAGUGUACCUGAUUCUAAAUCAAAUAGACAAAAACUAAAUUGUUUUCAGUCGAUAUGUACAAAAAUGUGCUAUCCACAAUUGGUUGUCCGAAGUAUAAUGGUAGAAACAGUAAUGAUCAAUAUCCUCAGUACUCUGAUCCUUUGGUAGCAACUGCAGUUUGCCGUUAUUAUGAGUAUACAGUAUCUGCAAUGAUAAAAACAAAGCUAUCAAAAUAACUUUUAAAUAUUUUUUUGUAUGUGGAAAACAACUCGAUGGGGAUAAUAAUCAUCUUCACUACAUAUAAAAAUGUUUACUUCAAACCAAUGAUAUGGCUUAUUUUCAGAGCCACAUAACUUCAUGAGCGAUCAACAUAUAUUAAAUAUAAAUAUGUAUACAUAAAUACCUAAAUUCAAUUUUACUUUAGACAACUUUU